UCGUUCUCUCUUUGAUUCGUCCUAUUUCCUCUUUCCAUCCCUCCUGCUCGCCAGCGGUUCCUCCUCCCCUGCCUCCUCACGUCGCCCUCAAGUCCGAGGCAACGAGUUUGCUUCCUCUGCUCCGUUCAUGUCAUUGAGCUUUUUCCUUGGGCAUAGCACCACAUUUGCGGCAGCAC